UACAGAGGUGGCAAGCGUUGUUCGGAAUUACUGGGCGUAAAGGGCUCGUAGGCGGCCAACUAAGUCGGAUGUGAAAUCCCCAGGCUUAACCUGGGAACUGCAUCCGAUACUGGAUGGCUUGAAUCCGGGAGAGGGAUGCAGAAUUCCAGGUGUAGCGGUGAAAUGCGUAGAUAUCUGGAGGAACACCGGUGGCGAAGGCGGCAUCCUGGACCAACACUGACACUGAGGAGCGAAAGCCAGGGGAGCAAACGGG
rnacentral:rRNA from 1 species